GAUGAACGCUGGCGGCGUGCCUAAUACAUGCAAGUCGAACGCUGGAAAUCUAGCUUGCUAGAUUGAAGGAGUGGCGAACGGGUGAGUAAUACAUAAGCAACCUACCCACGAAGACUGGGAUAAUCUCUGGAAACGGGGACUAAUACCGGAUAGGUAAUCGGAAGGCAUCUUCUGAUUAUUAAAGGUUAAAAACACUGGUGGAUGGGCUUAUGGCGCAUUAGUUAGUUGGUGAGGUAACGGCCCACCAAGACGAUGAUGCGUAGCCGGCCUGAGAGGGUGAACGGCCACAUUGGGACUGAGACACGGCCCAGACUCCUACGGGAGGCAGCAGUAGGGAAUUUUCGGCAAUGGGGGAAACCCUGACCGAGCAACGCCGCGUGAGUGAGGACGGCCUUCGGGUUGUAAAGCUCUGUUGUAAGGGAAGAACGGUAGAUAUAGAAUAUCUAAAUGACGGUACCUUACCAGAAAGCCACGGCUAACUACGUG
rnacentral:rRNA from 1 species